rnacentral:rRNA from 1 species
UUACCAGACUCCUACGGGAGGCAGCAGUGGGGAAUAUUGGGCAAUGGGCGCAAGCCUGACCCAGCAACGCCGCGUGAAGGAAGAAGGCUUUCGGGUUGUAAACUUCUUUUCUCAGGGACGAAUAGAUGACGGUACCUGAGGAAUAAGCCACGGCUAACUACGUGCCAGCAGCCGCGGUAAUACGUAGGAUGCGAGCGUUAUCCGGAUUUAUUGGGUUUAAAGGGUGCGCAGGCGGAUUUUUAAGUCAGCGGUCAAAUCGUGGGGCUCAACCCCAUCCAGCCGUUGAAACUGGGGAUCUAGAGUGUGCGAGAGGUAUGCGGAAUGCGUGGUGUAGCGGUGAAAUGCAUAGAUAUCACGCAGAACCCCGAUUGCGAAGGCAGCAUACCGGUGCACAACUGACGCUCAGGCACGAAAGCGUGGGUAUCGAACAGGAUUAGAUACCCCGGUAC